AUUGAACGCUGGCGGCAUGCCUUACACAUGCAAGUCGAACGGUAACGGGCCUUCGGGUGCCGACGAGUGGCGAACGGGUGAGUAAUGCAUCGGAACGUACCUUUCAGUGGGGGAUAACGUAGCGAAAGUUACGCUAAUACCGCAUAUUCUGUGAGCAGGAAAGCAGGGGAUCUUCGGACCUUGCGCUAAAUGAUGAGCCUAAGUCGGAUUAGCUAGUUGGUGGGGUAAAGGCCUACCAAGGCGACGAUCUGUAGCGGGUCUGAGAGGAUGAUCCGCCACACUGGGACUGAGACACGGCCCAGACUCCUACGGGAGGCAGCAGUGGGGAAUAUUGGACAAUGGGCGGAAGCCUGAUCCAGCCAUGCCGCGUGUGUGAAGAAGGCCUUUUGGUUGUAAAGCACUUUAAGCGAGGAGGAGGCUACCUGGAUUAAUACUCUGGGAUAGUGGACGUUACUCGCAGAAUAAGCACCGGCUAACUCUGUGCCAGCAGCCGCCGUAAGAC
rnacentral:rRNA from 1 species